CAAACAAAGUUUUCUUACACAAAUAAUGG
rnacentral:rRNA from 1 species